GCAGGCUUUAACGACUAGGACAUCCUGAUAACUAGAAAGAAUAUCUUUACUGUCUUAGGGUUUUUAUUGCUAUGUGAUGAGUCACCAUGAUCAAAGCAACACUUAUAAAGGACAACAUUUUACUGGGGCUGGUUUACUGGUUCAGAGGUUCAGUCCAUUAUCAUCAAGGCCAGAGCACGGCAGCACCCAGGCAGACAUCGUGUUAGAGAAGGAGUUGAGAAUUCUGGCAUCUUGAUUGGAAGGCAGUUAGAAGACUGACUCUUUUGCACUGGACAGAGCUUCAAGGCCCAUCUCCACAGGAACAUACUUUCUCUAACAAGGCCGUAUCUUCUAACAGUGUCACUCUAUAUGGGCCAAGCAUAUUCAAACCACUACCUUCACCUUAAAUUAUCCUCUCUCGUCAAGGAGCAUGGAUUCUCCAUUUGAAAGCCAGAAUUAAUGGUCAAAGAGAAAUAUAGCAGAUGAAAAACAGAUACAAUCUACCAUACCAAUUGAUUUGAAUGUUACAAACAAGCUUAACUUUAAAGGAGACGGUUUGGCAGCUGGGGGAAGGACAUGGUGCUGAUGUCAAAGGUUGCAGCUUAUCUUCUACCGAGGAUCCAAUCCUUCAUCUUGCUGCACAAGGCUGCCUCUCACAGGGGCCAGUGAUGAAUCUCAUCCUUGAUCUCCACUACGUCUGCAGGUUGGUUCCAAGCUUGCCCUGAGUCCUAAGUACUAGAAACCAUCACUUCCCAACUGCAGAUAAAGGAUAUUAACGUGGCAAAAAUAUUCCAGAAAGCAGCAACAAUAAGCAAAAAAUAUUUUGUGGUUUUAUUGGAGGGAAAUAGAUGAACUGUGAAUGUCAGAGUUCCGAGGAUCACUCAAGUUGGAUGGUGUGUGUGCAGGAGUCUCACCGUAUUUUUGGGUUUAUAUAAAAUGGCAAAGAUUGGAACACUGAAGGAAUUUCCUUUAUAAAAAUACACCGAGUUAUUUACUCACUAACCCUAGAAACCAAACAAGGUUUCUGCUACUUCUUAGAAUUUUCUGUGCUUUUUAAAAUGACUUUGAAAAUAACAUUCACAAUAGCUUCAAAAACUGAUUAUAAAUAAACCUACCCAAGGUGAAAAUUCUCCUGCAGUGAAAAACUGUAAGCUGCUGAAUAAACAGAAGAAGACCCCAGAAGAUCUUCUGUGCUCUUGGAGAGACCAGAAUGAUGCUAUGAAAGUGGCUACAUUACCAAAGAUGGUCUACAGAUUCAAUGCAAUUCCCACUGAACUCCAGUGAUAUUCUGCACAGAACUAGGAAAAAAAACAGUCCUAAAAUUUAUAUUGUAAAACAAAAAGCUAUGAAAAACAAAAACAAUCCUUACCAAAAGGAGGAGAAAUGUUGGGAAUACCGUUAUGCUUCAUUCCAGAUGAUACCAUAGAGCUGUUAUAACAAAAACAACGUGAUGCUGCCCCAAUGGAAUCUAGACCAAUGGAUUAAAAAAGAGGAGCAGAUAUAAACUUAGGUAGCUAUAGCUGCUUGGUUUUCGACAGAGAUGUCAAAAACACACAUUGGAGAAAUGGCAGCUACUUUAGCUAAUGGUGCUGAGGAGAACUGGCUAUCUACUGCAGGCACUGGAUAUCUACACGCAGGCACUAGCUCUUUAUCUCUCAGAUUGCACAACAAUAAAGUAAAACUCAACCAAAGACCAACUAAAAGACGCAAAACUCUGAAAUUAUUAGAAUAAAAAGAGAAAUUUAAAAAAAAAAACCUUUCCAAGAAAUAAGUCUAAUCAAGGACUUUCUGAAUAGGUCUCUAGUCUCUCAGUACAAGCAGGCAGAAACCACAACCGAGACCUCACGAAAUUAAAAACCUUCUGCACAGGAGAGAGGAACAGUGAACUGAGUGAAGAGAGACUACAAAAUGACAGGGAGUCUUGGCUAGCUCUGUGUCUGUCAGAGGACUAAUAUUAGAAUACAUCGAAAACUCAAAAAAAACUACUCAGUGAAUAACAGAACGAUGAAGUAAACAGACAAUUCUCAAAAUAUGACCCACAAAUGACCAAGAAACAUGAAAAAUUUCAAUUUCACUAGUUCUGAGGAUUAGUGUUGACUGUUGCCUGGAUAUAGUGUAGGUAGCACCCAUGAGGAAUUAUUUAGAUCACUUUGGACAGUCUACCGGGCUGUGAGGGAUUUUCCUUGAUCUAAUUGAUGUAGGAAGACCCAUUGUGAAUGUGGGUGGCAGCCUUUCAUGAGCUGAGCCUUGGAGCGAAGGGAAGGGGAAGGUGAGAGGCAGCUGAGCCCUUGCAUGAGAGCAUAAGUUUACUGGUUUCUGCUCUUGUUACAGAUGUGACUAAAGGCUUCAAAGUCCUGCUGCCCUGACUUGCCCACAAUGACAAACUGUAACCUGGAAUUAUGAAUCAAAUUAAAACAUUCUCUCUUGAUUCUGUCAGGGUAUUUUAUCAUAUCAACAGGAAUGAAGCUAAGACACUAGCUGUCAUAGAAAUGCAAAUUA
rnacentral:lncRNA from 1 species